GCUUACGACCACACCGGCCUGAGUACGCCUGAUCUCGUCUGAUCUCGGAAGCUAAGCAGGGUUGGGCCUGGUUAGUAUUUGGAUGGGAGACCGCCUGGGAAUACCAGGUGCUGUAAGCU
ensembl:rRNA 5S_rRNA 5S ribosomal RNA